rnacentral:piRNA from 1 species
UGUACCUCGUGGAUAAUGUUGGGUUC